rnacentral:rRNA from 1 species
GACGAACGCUGGCGGCGUGCCUAAUACAUGCAAGUAGAACGCAGUUGCGAACGGGUGAGUAACGCGUAGGUAACUGCCUCAUAGCGGGGGAUAACUAUUGGAAACGAUAGCUAAUACCGCAUCCUGUGAGAUGGACCUGCGUUGUAUUAGCUAGUUGGUGAGGUAAAGGCUCACCAAGGCGACGAUACAUAGCCGGGCUGGGAGGGUGGUCGGCCACACCGGGACUGGAGCACGGGCCAGACUCCCACGGGAGGCAGGCGUAGGGGAUCUUUGGAAAUGGACGGAAGUCUGACCGAGCAACGCCGGGUGGGGUAAGAAGGUUUUCGGAUUGUAAAGCUCUGUUGUUAGAGAAGCGGUAACUAAACAGAAAGGGACGGCUAACUACGUGCCAGCAGCCGCGGUAAUAC